GCAUUGGUGGUUCAGUGGCGGAAUUUUCAUCUUCCACGUGGGAGACCUGGGUUUGAUUUCCAGCCAAUGCA
rnacentral:tRNA from 1 species